AUAUCGCGUUGCGCCGGAACAGCGUAACGACGCGGAUUUUUGGAUUUUCCGAGGGAAUCCCCGUCAGUGUGCGCUUGCACACACACGCACUCUGGAACACUUCUCUUUGCUGCAAGGAUGCUGUAAUUAUGCAUGCCGACGAAGAUCAAGGCGAACGCAGAAUAAACUCAAGAGCGAAGAAAUAGUCAACUUGAUAAGUAGAUGCAUAUAUACGUAAUAAUGACAACUGUGUGCAAAUGCUUAUCGUAAUUUUUCAUCGACAUUGAUGCUUACGUAUUAAAUAAUAUCAAAGAGACUGAUGAAAAGCAAGUUUUUCUAAUUUGUUUUGUUGUUCUAGAAUACUUUAAAUUAAUUGAGAAAUUCUUAUCACGUUACAGCAAGUGACUUAAAACUAAUAAAUCAUAAACAAAUUAAAAUCUUAGGUGUGCACGUAUAAAAUUAUGAUUCUGUGCAAAAAAGAAAGUACAAAGGAAAGCUAGUGUUAAUAAGGUAAAAAUAUGAAAAUCGAUAUUAAAGACUAUAAAAAUAAUAGCAAUGUCGUUUAACCACUUUUUAUCGCUUUUAAAGUGAGCAAAAUAUUAGCUAAUGAAAAAAUGAUGAGAACAGUAUUUAUUCUUCAGGAAGAAUACGGUUCAUUAAAGAACCACUAAAAUCUGUUAAUGGAUGACUACCGAGAAGACACAUUAAACUCUCCUUUAAACGACGCUAUUAUGCAUAAUAAGUAUAUAGAGACUGUUUUCGUCGCUACAUAAGGGCAGAAGCAAGAUUUCCCAACUUGAGCAUACGUACGUUCUGAAAUUGAUAUUGAGAUCAUCAUGCUGAUUACAAAUUGAUUUAUGUUUAUCAAAUGUAGUAUAUUAAAAACAUAUGUGUAUUAAAAUUCUAUCCUAUUAUAAUUUUGAUACUACUUACGUUAUUCUAAAGUUAAUCUUAAAAAUUAUCUGAUCGCUAUUAUUGCGAUUUCCUUUUAAUUAAUAAUUAAAAGUAAUCAACAGUAACAUUAAUUUUGAAAAAAACGAAUAUUAUAUCUUAAUUUAUAUAAAUUUAAUCUCUAAAUAAUUAAAAAAUAUAACUGAUUUAUUAAUAUAUUUGAUUCUGAUUUGAAACACACGUGGCAAAGCUGUUAAUUUCUACAAUUAUCAGCAUCGCGCUUUGGAAUCACGAUCAAAUUGCAUAUGCAAAUUUAGUUAAUAUUUCCUGUUUGCCUCUCACUCAACGUUGCGAUUAGACUCGCAUACGUUGUAUCCGCCGAUCAUGUUAUUGCGUGUCAAUUUUGCUCAUGUGUAAAUUUUUGCAUGUUCCAUCACCGAUCACGAACACAUGUCACUCCUUUUCCAAAAAACCGAGAUGAGAUUCCGAGUAUCUUAAACAAAUGCAUGACACAAUAGGAUAUAAAUAAUAUUACAUUUUCAAGUUCUCGUUUAAAUGAUAGAGAAAAAAUUAUGCCAACUUAUGCUACUAUGCGAUGAGAUGAUAAUCAGUAACCGUACUUCGAUCUUGUAUUUUGCAAUUCAUAAUUAUGUCUCUUAUAUAAUGGAAGACUAAGAACUGUUACAGUUACGAAGAACUUAUCCCGUUAACAUAACAACGUAACGAACAUUUUGAAAGCUAUAAAAUCAAUAUUUAACAUAUUUCAUUAAUUGAGAGACAAAACUCUGAAUCGAUAAUAUUAUUAUAUAAUAAUCAAGAUACUACAACAUUGCGUCAAAUAGCAUUUAAUUGAAAUAAAAAUUUAUUGAUGACCAAGCUGGCAAUACAAAUGUAAAGGGCACAACGUUUCGGCCGACGGAAAUAGCAUUUAAUUCGAAUAAUAUUUUAAUAUUUUAUAAAUAAUAUUUUAUCUGCACUGUUCUUAUACUUAUCACCGAUACCGUCACAUGCGCGUAACAUACGAAUUAAAUACUUUUUCAACAACAUUUUCUACUUACGUCACUGAUAACACGAUGCGCAUUUACAAACGGAAAUAAUUAGAUUUACCGAGAAAAUAUUGCAACUUGCAAACUUGCUUUUCUAGAAUACUUAAUUAUUUGCAACGGCGAUCGUUACGGGGAACAUCUACCGAUCAAAUUAUUCGAAAUGUGCGUAACGAAAACCGCACGAGCUGCCACCUCACCUUCCUGUCGGUUGCAAAAGAAUGCGGAGUCCGUUUAGCCUUGAUCGAGUCAGAUCGGAUCUAGGAAUAAUAAUCGCUUUUUUAGUGAUGGAGAACCGUAACGAUAAUCCCUUUUGGAGGUAGAUGCUGAUUCAGAGAAUUCAAAUCCAUAAAUUAAUGAAUCGUUAUUUUUAUAUUAGAAUGACAAGAGACUUCACAUUUGGAAUAUGCAAAUGAACAUUAAUUAUUGUGGUACAUGUAUUAUUAAUAACUGUAUAAUUAAUUUGUGUAACGUUAGGUAUCUAUUAUAUUGUAUAAUACUAUCGUCUAUAAACGUCUAUAAAUCUACAUAACUGCUGCUUAGGAAAUAAUAAUAUGUACAAAUCCCAAAAAACAAAUUUAUUUCAAAAGAUUUCGGGAACAACAUUACGUUAUUACGUUUGUAGAUUGUUCUCACGAUACGAUACACCGCUAUUGUCAGUAUCGCAAUUGUUGGUAUGCUGAUUUAACAAGCAUACAAAGAAGCCGUAAAAGCCAGAUAAUUGCUAUUAAAUGAUGGUUUGUAAUAAUUCUAGGUUCUGAUAUUGCGUUCUUUUGCAAAACUUCGUUCGCAAAGAAAUAAUUGAUACAACAUAAACUUUGAUUAUUCUUCUAUCUUGUACGGAAUAUGUAUCAUUGUUUUACAUUUUCAUAAAUCUAAUAUAGACACGAAGAACGUGUCUAUAUGUAUAUAA